rnacentral:rRNA from 1 species
GAUAAGUCGACCGCCUGGGGAGUACGGCCGCAAGGUUAAAACUCAAAUGAAUUGACGGGGGCCCGCACAAGCGGUGGAGCAUGUGGUUUAAUUCGAUGCAACGCGAAGAACCUUACCUACUCUUGGCAUCCUGCGAAUUCGGUAGAGAUACCUUAGUGCCUUCGGAAGCGCAGAGACAGGUGCUGCAUGGCUGUCGUCAGCUCGUGUUGUGAAAUGUUGGGUUAAGUCCCGUAACGAGCGCAACCCUUGUCCUUAUUUGCCAGCACGUAAUGGUGGGAACUCUAAGGAGACUGCCGGUGACAAACCGGAGGAAGGUGGGGACGACGUCAAGUCAUCAUGGCCCUUACGAGUAGGGCUACACACGUGCUACAAUGGCCGGUACAAAGGGCUGCGAGCUCGCGAGAGUCAGCGAAUCCCUUAAAGCCGGUCUCAGUCCGGAUCGGAGUCUGCAACUCGACUCCGUGAAGUCGGAAUCGCUAGUAAUCGUGAAUCAGAAUGUCACGGUGGAUACGUUCCCGGGCCUUGCACACACCGCCCGU